rnacentral:rRNA from 1 species
ACGAGUGGCGGACGGGUGAGUAAUGUCUGGGAAACUGCCUGAUGGAGGGGGAUAACUACUGGAAACGGUAGCUAAUACCGCAUGACGUCUUCGGACCAAAGAGGGGGACCUUCGGGCCUCUUGCCAUCGGAUGUGCCCAGAUGGGAUUAGCUAGUAGGUGGGGUAACGGCUCACCUAGGCGACGAUCCCUAGCUGGUCUGAGAGGAUGACCAGCCACACUGGAACUGAGACACGGUCCAGACUCCUACGGGAGGCAGCAGUGGGGAAUAUUGCACAAUGGGCGCAAGCCUGAUGCAGCCAUGCCGCGUGUAUGAAGAAGGCCUUCGGGUUGUAAAGUACUUUCAGCGAGGAGGAAGGGAUUAAGGUUAAUACCUUUGCUGAUUGACGUUACUCGCAGAAGAAGCACCGGCUAACUCCGUGCCAGCAGCCGCGGUAAUACGGAGGGUGCAAGCGUUAAUCGGAAUUACUGGGCGUAAAGCGCACGCAGGCGGUUGGUUAAGUCAGAUGUGA